ACGGAAGGCAGCAGUGGGGAAUAUUGCGCAAUGGAGGCAACUCUGACGCAGCAACGCCGUGUGCAGGAUGACGGCCCUAGGGUUGUAAACUGCUUUCAGUAGGGAAGAAGUAAUUGACGGUACCUACACAAGAAGCUCCGGCUAACUACGUGCCAGCAGCCGCGGUAAUACGUAGGAAGCAAGCGUUAUCCGGAUUUAUUGGGCGUAAAGCGCGCGCAGGCGGGUGUUUAAGCGGAUCUUCUAACCCGAGGGCUCAACCCCCGGUCGGGAUCCGAACUGGACAUCUUGAGUGCGGUAGGGGCAGGCGGAAUUCCAUGUGUAGCGGUGAAAUGCGUAGAUAUACGGAGGAACACCAGUGGCGAAGGCGGCUUGCUGGACGACAACUGACGCUGAGGCGCGAAAGCGUGGGGAGCAAACAGGAUUAGAUACCCUGGUA
rnacentral:rRNA from 1 species